rnacentral:lncRNA from 1 species
UUGACAGUAGUAGCCUACAUCACUCCACGUUCACAUUAUUAUCGAAAAUGAGAUUAGUUCUGGCAGCUCUGCCCGAGUAGGUAAUGGGACAGUACCAUAUCAUGCAUGCUAAAGAAUAGAUAACGGAACUCGUGGACAUUAAGCUUGAUGCAAAAGAUUAUGCAUCUGAAGGAAAAAAAGUGCUUCAAAGCAAGCAAGAGAGCAAGGAACUUACAUUUAACUGGAGGUUCAAAUUUUACAAGGUCGGGAGUAUCCACUAAUGAAUUCUUUUCACCAAGCAAUGGCG